rnacentral:rRNA from 1 species
ACGUGCCCAAUCGUGGGGGAUAACGCAGCGAAAGCUGUGCUAAUACCGCAUACGAUCUACGGAUGAAAGCAGGGGACCGCAAGGCCUUGCGCGAAUGGAGCGGCCGAUGGCAGAUUAGGUAGUUGGUGAGGUAAAGGCUCACCAAGCCUUCGAUCUGUAGCUGGUCUGAGAGGACGACCAGCCACACUGGGACUGAGACACGGCCCAGACUCCUACGGGAGGCAGCAGUGGGGAAUUUUGGACAAUGGGCGCAAGCCUGAUCCAGCCAUGCCGCGUGCAGGAUGAAGGCCUUCGGGUUGUAAACUGCUUUUGUACGGAACGAAACGGCUCUUUCUAAUAAAGAGGGCUAAUGACGGUACCGUAAGAAUAAGCACCGGCUAACUACGUGCCAGCAGCCGCGGUAAUACGUAGGGUGCAAGCGUUAAUCGGAAUUACUGGGCGUAAAGCGUGCGCAGGCGGUGAUGUAAGACAGUUGUGAAAUCCCCGGGCUCAACCUGGGAACUGCAUCUGUGACUGCAUCGCUGGAGUGCGGCAGAGGGGGAUGGAAUUCCGCGUGUAGCAGUGAAAUGCGUAGAUAUGCGGAGGAACACCGAUGGCGAAGGCAAUCCCCUGGGCCUGCACUGACG